rnacentral:rRNA from 1 species
CCCUAAACAUUGAUAUCUAUUUACAUAGACAUCCGCCAGAGAACUACGAGCACCCGCUUGAAACUCAAAGGACUUGGCGGUGUCUUAAACCCAUCUAGAGGAGCCUGUUCUAUAAGCGACAACACACGAUAAACCUUACCACCUCUCGCCAUCAGCCUAUAUACCGCCGCCGCCAGCCUACCUUGUGAAAGCACAUAAGUAAGCGAAAUAGUAUAAACCACUAAUAAGUCAGGUCCAGGUGUAGCCAAUGAGGUGGCAGAAAUGGGCUACAUUUUCUAAAAUAGAAAUAUUUAACGGAGAGACUCCUGAAAUAAGAUCUCUAAAGCAGGAUUUAGCAGUAAUUUUGGAAUAGAGAGCCAAAAUGAAACAGGCAAUGAGAC